CGCUCGGCGAUCAUGGCGUUCGCUUCUCGCCUCGUUUCCAAGUUUAGAUACUCUGUGUUUGCUUCAAUUCCUGAGUGAACUGCGGCAUAUCACGCGAAGCUUGCUCGCAUCUCCGUGAAACCAUACUGAAGUGAGGAUCAUCCACGGGACAUGAUGGGUUCGGAGGUUGAAGUCUUCCUUGGUCCAGCUCCAUGCGGAAGGUGCCAUUCUUGAAAGGAGGCUAAAGUAUCUAAGGAGUUGCUCUUAUCGAAACUUCAAAGGGUCUUGUUCAUGUAUUUUUGCCCAGCGUACGACAUCAAAGCAGUAUCGUUUGACUUGGAGGUGGCUCAGAUACUUCAAGAAUGAUCGGGAUAGGCGGGAUUUAAUAACAUGUGGUGCAGCAGCUGG